rnacentral:lncRNA from 1 species
UGGAGCUGGGCUGUUUUCUCCUCGGUUUGGAGCCUGGUGACCGUGACUUCCCCGCCAUGUUCUGUGUGUUGCUGGCUGGAGAAGGGUAGUUGACAAACUCCGACCCAGCACAGUGUUUCUGUGGGUCAAAACUAGAAAACUAUGUCCGGGCUCCGCCGAGGCGGAAGGAUCCCUUCAGGCCAGGAGUUAAAGAGCGGCCUGGGCAACAUGGCGCGACUCCAUCUCUGUAGUCCCUCCUCAGCUUCCCAGAUACUUGAACCCCAAGGUUCAAGGCUGCAAUGAGCUAUGAUCCCAUCACAGCACUCUAUCCUGCGAGACUGAAGUAAACCUUGUCUAAAAAAAUAAACUAUCCAAGUGUGCAACAGGGAGGGACCGCUUAAAGAAAACAUGAGACGGGGUUUCACCAUGUUGGCCAGGCUGGUCUGGAACUCCUGACCUGAAGUGAUCUGCCCACCUCGGCUUCCCAAAGUGCUGGGACUGCAGGUGUGAGCCACUGCGCCUGGCCCCUUCAGGUGGGUUUUGAGGCUUCACGUUGCUGCUGCAAUAAAUUACCACACACUUAGUGGCUUAAAACAGCACAGAGGUAUUCCCUUACAUUUCUGAAGGCCAGAAUUCUAAAAUCAGUCCCACUGAGUCAAGGUGGGAGCAGGGUCAGUGCCUUCCCAGGCUCUGCGGGAGAAUCUGUUUCCUGGCCCUGGAGGCGGCCUGUACUCCUUAGCUUGUGCUGCCCUUCUGGAAUGACUCGAGUUUCCUGCUUUCAUCACUACACCUCCCACCGCUCUCCAUCACCUGCUGUGCUCUUACGAGGAUCCAGUUUUCAGAGAAAUGGAAUAAUUGUAUUGCUGAUCUACGUAAACAAGUUGAAGAAUUGUCUGAAAGAAAAUAUGGUGUGUCUGAACUGGAAAAGUCCUGUGAUAGUUUGUUCAUGAGCAUUUACACAAUGGAGUUACUGUUCAUCAUGGGGGUACUGUGGACAAGCCCAGGGCUGCUGGCUGGAGUGCAACGGCACGAUCUUGGCUCACCGCAACCUCCGCCUCCCAGGUUCAAGCGAUUCUCCUGCCUCAGCCUCCCGAGUAGCUGGAAUUACAGGCAUGUGCCACCACACCCGGCUAAUGUUUUUGUAUUUUUAGUAGAGACAGGGUUUCACCAUGUUAGCCAGAAUGGUCUCGAU